rnacentral:misc_RNA from 1 species
UUUCCGUAGGUGAACCUGCGGAAGGAUCAUUAUUGAAUGAACUUGGUAGUGGUUGUAGCUGGCUCUCUCGAGAGGAUGUGCACACCCGCCAUCUUUAUCUUUCCACCUGUGCACUUCUUGUAGACUUUGGGAUUUGAAAACUUAUCCGGGGCAACUCGGUCGGGAGGAGCUGCUGUAGCAAUACGGCUCUCCUUGACAAGUCUUCGAAGUCUAUGUUUUUCAUAUACCCCAUAGUAUGUAACAGAAUGUAUACAAAUGAGCCUUAGUGCUUAUAAAACUUAUACAACUUUCAACAACGGAUCUCUUGGCUCUC